AGGCCUUCCUUCCUUGCUUGCUCCCUAGCUUCUCUCAGCUCACACACACAGCUCAAGCAAGCGGGAGGACGUCGAGGGCCAACCGAGUAAAUGGCCGCGGAUGGGGUCGGCCAGGCUUCCCCAAGGCCUCCAUGGCCUCCUAAGGAGCGCGAGGUGGACUCGGAGGGGAAGGCCCCGUGUCCACGUUGAUCACCUCAGAGCAGCCUGGUGUAUCCACCGAUCGUGACGCCUGCUCGCACGCACGCGAAGGAGGAGGGCAUGGCUGGAGGGGAGAGGAGAUGGGAAUGAAGCCGUAUUGGUCCGGGAAGCGUAUACAUAGGAGUAUUUUUGUGUAAGAUCGAGAAAUACGUACCAGAUAAAAAGUCUCAGUUUUCGGGUAGAGGGGAGGUAAUUAAACUGGCAAUCUUAGCUAAUGCAAAUUCUUUUUUCGAUCGAUC
rnacentral:sRNA from 1 species